rnacentral:miRNA from 12 species
ACGGAUGAUCGUCUCCGCCAACC